CUCCCCCAAUCCCCGCUUCCUCUCAGGAUCGACCCCGAGCCUCCACCGCGCCUCCUCCUCCGCCACCCCGAGCAGCUGCCGUCCCACCGUCCCGCCUCUCCUCCUCGACCUACGCAGCUCCGGCGUGUUGCUCCGCCGCCGUGGCGCCUCCUGUGCGAUUCCGAGCAGCCGCCGUCGCGCCUCUCACCCUCAAUCUACCCUGCGCCGGAGUUGGAGGAGCAGCAAGGGGCGGCGCUGGGACGGAGGUGGAGGAGCACGGAUUCGGCGCCAGCAGACUCCUCUACGAGUAAGGUCCUCCUCUUCCUUCUUUCUGUCCUCCACGGAUCGGGGCACACAUGAGAUGGCGCGGUCUGCGUGACUCCAUGAGAUCCAUGGAUGGCGGUUCUUCGGCCGGCGCGGGGAUGCGCGAUGGCUGCCGGUGCUCGAGAUCUGGCGGAUGGAGGGCUGCAGCGGCGGCGGGAUCGAGCUCUGGUCUCCAGCUUGCCCAUCCCCCACGUUUCCCUCUCCUCCUCCUCUCUGCUGUUGGCCACGCUGGCCAUGGCCCUCAAAUCCGACGCCUGCAUCUGCGAUGCUAGCAGCAGAUCUGGUUGGGAAAGCGUAAGGAGAUAAACAGCGAGAGAUUGUCUUAGCACACGGAUUCAUGAGUGCUGCAAAUUUAUAUAUAGUGCUUUGUACUGAUGUUUAAAGUUUAUUUAUACAAGUAUUGGAAAGAGGAAUACAAUAUUGCAUUUCUAAAGAAAUCAUCAUGUAGAUAUGUUUUUGUACUUUACUCAGCGAAAAUUGCAGCCAGUUAUUUUGAUAAUAUAUCUCAGUUUGUGUGUCCUUACUAUUCCUUAUUUAUGAAUUUGAGAAGAUUAAUUUCCACCUAUUGGUGCUGAAGGUCAAGCUGCUCACUUUCUUCUUGGAUGUGGACCAGUCUCCUCUGGUAUAGCAGAUCUCACAAAGGAUCUUCAUCAUCGGGACAACUCCAUGUUCCAGUCAGAAGGUUCACUGUCGCGACCUUGCAUAUUUGUUCUCGGUUUUGCGGUGUGCUGAGAAUAGGAAGGCUGAGUUCAUCAAUUCUACUAUGGAUUCUGCUCUAUAUGCGUGUUUCUUUCUAAUAAUUCAUCACUUGUGCGGGAUUCUAAUGGUUGUGCUGGGUGUUUGUAACGGUGAGGUUGAGCAUAUCGAUUUGUAUAAUGCACAGACCGCGAAUAAUGGUGUUGUGGUGACUGAUACACUCACACAGUUUCCUGAAGUUGGCCACUUUUGGCAUAUGUGAUAAUAUGCAUAUUUGUCAGUGUUCAUGGUACUACCUCCCUAUCACUCACACACCUAGAUAUUUUCUUGCCAGCUAUAACCUAAAUUAAGGUUUGACACUUUCUUUUAACUGCAGGUCUUAAUAUAUAUUUUAGACUACCAUUUAACCCUUAUUGUAAAUUUUACCCACAUUUUUUAACCAACGCUUCUAAACCCAUUUAAUGGUUCUCGUUUUAUGUGUUGGCCUAAUUACCCGACUUCAAAAUGUUCAGAGGUUGUCCUACUUCAGGGUAGUGAGCUGCAGCAUGUUGACGCUCAGAUGGCGCUGGAGGUUAUUCAGGCACCAUCCACAAAUUAAGUAAGCUAGAGCUCUCUUCACCGUAAUUUUGUCAAGGGGUCCACAAUGAAAUGGACAAUUACGCCAAGAUAGGCACAUAAGAAGAUCCUCAAGAUCGGCGAUGGCGAUCGCGACGGUGCAUCGACGAGCUUGAUGAGAUGGCGCAUUGACAAGCAAAAAGGCAUGGGGAUUCCCGCUGUUCGUGAGGGGUUGCGUGAUGCGGCUAGGGGGCGGCGGAGGUCCACACAUCAGACGUAUCCAGGUUGUGCGCACAGAUGAUGUUGAGGCUCCGUGACCUCCACAACCCGAGCAAGGUUAGCAGCGGUUCGCCACUUCAGCUGUUACUCUACUCCAUCCACUAAAUUUUCUUCAGUUCAAUAUAUGCAUAUAUAUGGUGAUGAUUUUAGUGGGCCACAAGGUGUUGGCAAUUGUUGGGUUCUGUAUUUUACAAAAUAUCAGCAUCUUGUUUAAUCUUCAGUUGCGGUGCUUUCAUGUUAUCAUGAAUUGUGGGCAAACUAUUUAUUCAAUACGCUUUGUUAUUGAUUCCUUGCCCCUUGCUUGCGGUGCUUUUCUUUCAUUUUUGUGUGUUCCUUCUUGCAUCCAGCUUGACUGUUUACUCUGAAAGGAGCAGUUCGUGGAGUGGGUGAGAGUUGCUUAAUGUGUAGGUGGGUAGAAUAUUAGUUUCAUGGUCUACUUUACAAGAGAAAGCAAGUAGAAUAUUAUGUAGGAGUUGCUUCAUAUUUACUGUCUCUAUUUUUUCGUACCAUUUUGCGGUAGGAUUGCAUACAGAGGCAUUAAUAUAUUUUAUUACAUUCUCUUUUCAGAAAAACUGCACUAACAUCCUUAUGCUUUUAGUCAGACAUACCUUUUAUUGUGGCUCAAGGGUUUAAGAUUGUUAUUAGAUAAAAUUUUACAACUAACUUGACAUUUAAAUGGUGCGAAAUUACAGAGGGGGUGGACUUUGAUGUCAGUAUGACACACUAUACUUAUUGUACUCCAUAAAUAUUUUCAGCAGAGAAAUAGAAUCCUACAAGAUCAACAUGUUUUCAGUAUUUGCCUCUAAUGAUUAAAUUAUCUCUUUUCCGUGUUCGAAUUAGUUAUUCCGUUGUGUUUCCAUUUUCCAUGUUGGCUAACAUUUUCCAUGUUGGCUAACUAUAAUAAUAAAUAAAAUUUCAGAGUAGUGGAUUUUUAUGUGCCAUUUGGUGUUAGCCUCCCUAAUUCUCUUAUGGAUUUCUCUUCGGCAGGCUGCUACAGAGGGGGUGGACUUUGAUGUCAGUAUGCUACAAAGGAUGUUGAA